CGUCACUACAGGGGCGUGUGUAUCCGUGGUCAGCACACCAAGACUACCGGCAGGAGAGGGAAGACUGUUGGUGUCUCCAAGAAGCGAUAAACUGCUUCACAAAGAUCCCCGCAUAGCUUCACUACUACUGUGUUGGUCCAUUUCCAGAAUCUUAAGGAGUGUUCUUGUUUAGACGAUUACCUUGGAUGAUGCUUUUGCUUGGGGAGAGGCUCAAGAAGAUCAGGUAUAAACUCCUCCCCCUCUCGUUUGUUUUUGUUUCAUACAGUUUGGUGGUUGAUACAUUACUGUGCAAGUUCUAUGGUAGGUGAGUUCUUUUUGUUGCUGCAAGCAUUGACACAAUAUGUCAUGUGCAGGGAGCUUUGCAUCCGAGUUUC
rnacentral:lncRNA from 1 species